UCUUCGUUUGGGCUGUCCAAAGAUAAACUACAGAAAUGACCAGUUCAAGCCCAUUAAUGCUUCGCCUACCAAUUUCAUUUGAGCGUGGAGCUCAUCUUCCCUAUCCCGACUCUUAAGCUUCAUCUUCACCGGUUGCGAUAGUAACUCUGUGACUGCUUCCUCCUCUUCAUCAAUCAAUGACGCUAUUAAUUCUCAUCUUUAUUGUUCCGUUCUACCUUCCUCUCUUUCACCUCAAUAUAUAAAAUGCUCCCAAUGUCUUCGUAGAGAUUUACUUCGAACCAAACUCAGAAACCUCCUUUCAAGAAUCUCAAGCUAUGGCGAUUGUUAGCUCUUUACAUCUUUGCUGGUGUAUAGGAUAAUGGGAAUUUUAUCCUUGAGCAUGAGGUUGGAAUGAAAAAUGGAGGCAUUGACCUUGGUUUUGAGGACCAACCAGACACUGUCACAUUCUCUGAAGGUUAUCAAGAUAUCAGUAGGAGAGGCAUCACACAUAGAGCUCCAAGUAUAUGCCCAGAUUGCUGCCAAGAAAGGGCCAAACAGUCUCUACUGCCUUGGUGCUCCUCUCACCACCUACAUUCAAAGCUCAUGGAAAGAAGCUACAAUGUGGUUUCCAAACUCACAGAUAACAAUCUCUGUCUCUUCUCUAAUAACUUUGUUGCUACUUCAGUUGUGGUCAUUUCCACUGCUCUCAACUCCAAGGCCCCCAGGAGAGUCAUCUUUCAUCUUCUCACUAACGAGAUCAACUAAUGCGGCAAUGAAGUCAUGGUUUGCUAGACAACGUCAGGAGUCACUAUUGAGAUUCAGAUAUUUGAGGAUUUCAAAUUGUUUAAUGCUUCUUAUGUUCCUGUCUUCGAGGAGCUACAAGAAACUGAUUCGCAUAUCUAUUAUCUCUCUUCUCACAAUGAUAAUGGACGCAGACAAAGCAAAUUCAGAAACCCCAAAUAUCUCAUGAAGUGUAAUAUUCUUCAGUCCUAGCUUAAAGAUCUCGGACAUAUUUUGAUAUUUGAGCUUCUAGGAAUUUCACAAGUCACAAUUAUUUAGGCCAAGGGUUGCACCUUCAAAGACGGCUAUGAGGUAUGAUCCAUUUUCAAUACUGCAUUUCUACUGGUUCAUUGUAGAGAAGUUAUUCUUUAACAAAGUUUUCACCUGUUUUGAUGAUCCCAUGGUCGAAUUGAGAUGCAUUAACAAAUUAGCUAUGAAAUAAAAAAGAAAGGGGAGGUCUAAGCUCUCUCUAGAAAAAGUAUGUGGAAUCACGGAUGUGUGGAAGAGGAGGCCAGAUUAAAAGUUGGUGCAGCUGCGAACCAACAAGAAAAACAAACAAAGAGGAGAAGUUGGUUUGGAAGUUUCUGUUACACCAAGUGACAUGAGUCUUAGGUGCAACGUGGGAAAGAAGACACAUAGAGAAAUGCUUAGGAUCAAGAGAAGCGUCUCCGCAGGUUACCGUCAAGUUUGCUCUCUAAUCUCUUACAAUCAGGCUCAUUUCAUUCGGCUACAUAACACGACGCAAAAAGACGAGCUGGUAGAUGUGGAGGAGGCAAAACACUAGCUGAAUAAAGCAGGUUAGCCAGAAGGUGAAUUGGCAGCGUUGAAGAGGCAGUUCAUGUCCCCAAUGUCUACCACAGUUACAUCAAAAGAUGGUGCAAGAAAACUGGGGUUUGUGAGGUGGUGACAUGGAAUGUGCAAGGUACUGAGCUUCCUGAAGAGUGUGAUGAUGAAUCUGUUGGAGAAGACAAAGUAGAGUUCGUUCAUGAGAUGCUGUGUUUGGAGGACCUGCCAGAAAGAGAGAGCAAGACGGUAAAGAGGCUUUGGGUGCGCUAGAGAGGACAAAGAGACACAAACUAGCUCAGUGAGUAAAUCAUGUUGACAAAUUACUUGUGAUACAGUUUGGAAUUGUAAUAUGCAUAACAUGAUCGUAUUAUUAUCAUGAGAAAUUAUGUACUUCUGUUUUGUCUCAAUUCCACUAUGUUAGUUUAUUGCAGAGUUCUUUGUACUC